rnacentral:rRNA from 1 species
CAAUUUAAUGUCCGCGAGGUACUACGAGCAUUAGCUUAAAACCCAAAAGACCUGACGGUGUCUCAAACCCCCCUAGAGGAGCCUGUUCUAGAACCGAUAAUCCCCGUUAAACCUCACCACAUCUAGUCACCCCAGCCUAUAUACCGCCGUCGUCAGCUUACCCUGUGAAGGACUUAAAAGUAAGCAAAAUGGGUACAACCCAAAACGUCAGGUCGAGGUGUAGCGCAUGAAGUGGAAAGAAAUGGGCUACAUUUUCUACUACAGAAUAUCACGAAUAUGCACCAUGAAACAAUGCUUGAAGGAGGAUUUAGUAGUAAAAAGGAAAUAGAGAGUCCUUUUGAACCCGGCCCUGAGACGCGUACAC